rnacentral:lncRNA from 1 species
CAGCACGUGUUGUCCCCAUCGGAUGACAUUUACGUUUAAUUGUGGCCUUGAAUGCCGGCAGUAGUAAUCCUAGAGAGGUAAGAACAGCUACCAGGAGCCUCCGGCUCAGCAGGGGGCCUUGGAAAAGCUCUGGGACGUGGUCAUGAGCUUCCACUGACAUUUUUAUCACAUCCGCCAAGGGCAGCUGUCCUCUCCUCGGCCGCAGAUAUAUCUGAGUGUUCCAAAGUGGGCAGUUGGGUAUUCUUUUGAAGGUCCUCUGGGAACCCACGGUAGCUCAAGUUUGAUUUUCCAAGAGCAAUAAAUCCAAAUGUUUAAUGAAAAAGUCUUUUAAAAUUUGAACUCGUUUUCUUGUUUCUAUCUCAGGGAAGGUGGAGGGCAACUGGGGAGUAACCCUCCUCACCAAGCCUUCUUUUAUCUUCUUUAUUUAAAAAAGUUAUUUUAAUUUAUUUAUUCUUGAGAGAGAGAGAGAGUGCAUAAGCAGGGGAGGGGCAGAGAGAGAGACAGAGAAUCCCAAGCAGGCUCCACACUGUCAGCAUGGAGCGCAGUGCGGAGCUCGAACUCACAAACCGUGGGAUCAUGACCUGAGCAGAAAUCAAGAGUCCGUUGCUUAACUGAGCCGCCCAAGCGUCCCUAAGCCAUCUUUUAUGUAUGUGAAGACAGGAAUUAAGUGUCAUCCGUUCUGAACAAUAUGACCUCAAUUUUUCUAGACUUCUUUUAAUAGGAAGUCCUUUUGCACCUGCUUUAGCAUAUCCCCUUUUCCUGGGUUUGCUCCACUUUCCCACAUAACUUCUAAAUUGCAGGGGCGGUGCCUUACUUGCACCACCUGUGGUUUCCUUUGGAACGCCAACAGCAGGUGCAGCCCACACCUGUUGUGCGCGCACACACACACACACACACGCACACACACACACGCACACACACACAUCCACCACAGAAACUGCUUUGGAGAUGGGGUAAAACAAAGAACAUAUAACCCUGUUGCAUAAAAAUGAGGGUUAGAAGGAUCAAGGUUGUAGAUGUGCAGUCCUCUUACUGAGGUCCUUGCUCCCUUCGGGGGGGGAUGGUUCAGUGGUCAAAUCCCUGCACAACUUCAUACAGACUCACUUGUGAGGGAAGCCCUUUGCAGGCUGCCCACUUUCUAACUGGGUUCAGGACUCCCAAACCACACCCUUUGCCACUUCGUGGGGAUUCCUCUAAAACCAAGAUACCCUCUUACAUGGCCACAGCACAGUUAUCAACUGCAGGAACUUAAUAUCAACACCAUAGUUUUAGCUAAUCUCUAACCCAUGUUCCAAUACCGUCCAUUGUCCCAGGAACGUCCUCCGCGCAUUCAGUCCGGGAUGCAGCCCGGAUCACGGUGUGCGUUCAGUUGUCAUUUAUUCUCCUUUACUCCGAACGCUUUCGCAACUGCUCUAUGCCUUUUACGACAUUGACAUUUCUAAGAAGACUACUUAUAUGUUUUUUUAAUUUUAUUUUUAAGUAAACUCUACACCCAAUGUGGGACUUGAACUCUUAACCCUGAGAUCAAGAGUUGCCCACUCUACCAAUGGAGCCAAUCAGGUGCCCCCAGCCUACGUAUUUUAUAGAAAGUUUCUCCGUUUGGGUAUAUCUAGUGUUUCCUCAUGAUUACAUCAAAUAGAUUUUGAGGGCUUCUCCAUGGAAAGUUAGAAAUCAUGUAGUGCACAGCAUGGUGACUAUAGUUAAUAGUGUCGUAUUGCAUAUUUGAAAAUAGCGGGCGGGGCACUGGGGUGGCUCAGUCGGUUAAGUAUCUGAAUCUCGAUUUCGGCUCCGGUCGUGAUCUCCCGGUUCGUGGGUUCGAGCCCUCCAUCAGGCUCUGCACAGACAGUUUGGAGCCUGCUUGGGAUUCUGUCUCUCUCUCUCUCCGUCCCUCCCCACCCCCUCUCAAAAUAAAUAAAUAAACUUAAAAAAAAAAAGAAAGUUGCUGGGGGAGUGGAUCUUGAAAUUUCUCAUCAUGAGAAAAAAAUGUGUAACUAUGUAGGGUGAUGUUAACUGGACUUAUUAUUAUUUCACAAUAUACGCAAAUAUCAAAUCAUUAUUUGUAUGGUUGAAACUAAUACAAUGUUACGUCGAUUAUACCUCAAAAGGAAAGACAGAAGGAAAGGAAAAACUCUUCCAGUGCCUUCCGUCUCAUUGAGGAUGAAAUUUACACAUUUACCAAGCCCUACAAGGCCUUGCUUCCUCAAUACUGAUCCUUGGCUCUCUCUCUCUGCCUCAGGCCCUUUGCACUUGCUGGUACUACUUCCUGAUGUGCUCUUCAUCCCGAUCAUUGCUUGUCAUGUUCCCUCAUUUUAUUCAGGUACGUUUAAUUACAAACCGAAAGAUAACCUCAGAUUCCAAUCCACAGCAUUCCUUCAUCGUUUGGAGCCCUCCUUUCCUGCCAGAUUUCUGAGAGCCUUCCUUUCUCUGUUUCCUGUCCCCGCAGGGUACACGUGUGUGUGAAACGCUGAUUAAUACUUUGCUCUUUGGAACCAACCGGGUGUACCUUCAAUGUCCAGUCUUUUAAAGAUGGGAGUUUGGAUUUUAGAGCACUGACUGUUAAUUUACAUGACAGUGACAUCUAGUGGAUCGCUAAUGACAGUCGGAGCUACAAGCUCUAAAGAUCAAAGGAGGGGCAAAACAAACAUCAGCCACGAACAGCAAAACUCCACCCUGAUUCCUGGAAAGAUGCUCUAGUGAGGUCUGGAGAAUCCAUUGAGAUUUCUGUUGAUGAUGUGGCCAUUGAUGGGUUAAGGAUAUCUGAAGAUUUAGGUUUCACUAUGCAUGUUGGGGAUGGAGCGUGGAGGACAAGCCUAAAUAUGAAAAAAUGAGAGAAUUUGUUGUGUGGGAUAGCUUAAGCUGCUACAAGUUCAUUUUUCAAGAGGUUGAUUUAUCACUCAAAAGCGAGGGGCGCCUGGGUGGCUCAGUCGGUUAAACGCCCGACCUCAGCACAGGUCAUGAUCUCAUAGUCUGUGGGUUCAAGCUGUGCUGACAGCUCAGAGCCUGGAGCCUGCUUCCGAUUCUGUGUCUCCCUCUCUCCCUCUGUACCUCCCUCUGCUCACGCUCUGUCUCUCUCUCCCUCAAAAAUACACAUUAAAAAAAAAUUUUUUUUUAAAGGUGAUAGGAACAUGAAAUUAGUGCAUGCUGUCACCAAGUGGUGGUACUAAUUCGGAAGAAAAGUAAAAUUUUGGUCAUUAGGUGUGCUCAGCUGGACGAAACUAGCAAAUUUUGCUCUUGAUCUGAAAUCAACAGUCAGAUGCUUAACCCAGGUGCCCCUAACAGCAAGCUUUAAAAUAUAAGAUUAAGGAAUAGUUUAAUAAUUAUUAUAAGUUUGGACAAUUUAUAUCACAAUGAAGAAUGUGCAAGUCAUGUUCUCAUGUUAUGUUCUCACACCCACAUGAGCAAAGCAUGUUAUCAGACUUUUUGUUCCUGUUAAUCAAAAAUUUUAUUUUGCCUUUCUCAUAUGAUGCCUGAGAUUGAGUAACUUUUCAUCUGAUUUUAUUUUUUUGGUGACUUGUGCCCUUGUAUUUUGCCCAUUUCUCUAUGAAGCUAAUGACAUUUUAAAAUUGAUUUGUAGAAGCUCUUUAUAUAUUAGGGUAAUUGGCUCUUUAGCUGAGAUACGAAUUGCAAAUAUUGUUUCCGGUGUCUUUUUACCUUGCUUUUGAUGGUUUUUCCCAUGUAAAAUUUUCUUAUCGUUUGGGUUUUUGUGUUAUAAAGACAUUCCCUUCUCUAAGG